UAUUACCAUGCAAAUUUAUUAUUAUCUUUUUAUUUUACAUUGGGUACAUUGUAUUCAUAAAGUUGCGAAAAGUCGAAAACGUAGGCCCAGACUAUUGUUGAAAAUAAUCAAACGUCUUAUUGGAAAUUUUUUAUUUAUUUCCUUACUUCAUUUGUCACCAAUAAACACGUACCGCUUGUCUUUUGCUAGUAUUGUUUCUAUUAGCAUUGUUUAUUCGCGAGAUAUCUGUCCGAUUAACAUAUGUGCACACAAUUCGCGGAUUGAGAGAAUUAUUUUUUUUUAACCGAGAGACCCUUUACGUGAAACGAAGUGCAUCAUCGAAAUACGCAAACUACUUCGACAGCGCGUUCUUAAUCAUAAAUAAAUAUAGCGAGGUACUCCAUUUCUAGGAACAAUGACCAUGUUUGCAUCUAACGCCCCUGGCGAGGUCAUAGACGCUAUAAGGCCGGAUCUGGAGGCAUUCACAUCGCUGUGGACAGCUCUGAGGGUGAAUUACGAGGGCACGAAUAUCACGAGGACCGUAGCUCGUUUGCUCCACAUGUAUCAGCCCG